CCUACGGGUGGCAGCAGUAGGGAAUCUUUCACAAUGGGCGAAAGCCUGAUGGAGCAACGCCGCGUGCAGGAUGAAGGCCUUCGGGUUGUAAACUGCUUUUAUAAGCGAGAAAUAUGAUGGUAACUUAUGAAUAAGGCUCGGCUAACUACGUGCCAGCAGCCGCGGUCAUACGUAGGAUCCGAGCAUUAUCCGGAGUGACUGGGUGUAAAGAGUUGCGUAGGUGGCAUAAUAAGUAGCUAGUGAAAUCUGGUGGCUCAAACAUUCAGACUAUUAGCUAAACUGUUAAGCUCGAGACCGUUAGGGGUAACUGGAAUUUCUAGUGUAGGAGUGAAAUCCGUAGAUAUUAGAAGGAACACCAAUAGCGUAGGCAGGUUGCUGGGACGGGUCUGACACUAAGGCACGAAAGCGUAGGGAGCAAACGGGAUUAGAUACCCUAGUAGUC
rnacentral:rRNA from 1 species